rnacentral:tRNA from 2 species
GGGUCUAUAGCUCAGUUGGUUAGAGCAAGCGGCUCAUAACCGCUGGGUCGCUGGUUCAAGUCCAGCUAGGCCCACCA